GUUGUAUAGUCAAGUAAUUAAGUGCAUGUGGUGGAUGCCUUGGCAGUCAGAGGCGAUGAAAGACGUGAUAGCCUGCGAAAAGCUCCGGGGAGGCGGCAAAUAUCCUUUGAUCCGGAGAUGUCUGAAUGGGGGAACCCACCUACUUUAAGGUAGGUAUUGCAACAUGAAUACAUAGUGUUGCAAGGCGAACGAGGGGAAGUGAAACAUCUCAGUACCCUUAGGAAAAGAAAUCAAUUGAGAUUCCCUCAGUAGCGGCGAGCGAACGGGGAUCAGCCCAUUAAGUUAUGUGUGUUUUAGUGGAACGCUCUGGGAAGUGCGAACGUAGAGGGUGAUAUUCCCGUACACGAAAGGGCACACAUAAUGAUGACGAGUAGGGCGAGGCACGUGAAACCUUGUCUGAAUAUGGGGGGACCAUCCUCCAAGGCUAAAUACUCCUGACUGACCGAUAGUGAACCAGUACCGUGAGGGAAAGGCGAAAAGAACCCCUGUGAGGGGAGUGAAAUAGAUCCUGAAACCGCAUGCAUACAAGCAGUGGGAGCACCUUCGUGGUGUGACUGCGUACCUUUUGUAUAAUGGGUCAGCGACUUAUAUUCAGUAGCGAGGUUAACCGUAUAGGGGAGCCGUAGAGAAAUCGAGUCUUAAUAGGGCGUUUAGUUGCUGGGUAUAGACCCGAAACCAGGCGAUCUAUCCAUGAGCAGGUUGAAGGUUGGGUAACACUAACUGGAGGACCGAACCCACUGUCGUUGAAAAGCCAGGGGAUGACUUGUGGAUAGGGGUGAAAGGCUAAUCAAGCCUGGUGAUAGCUGGUUCUCCCCGAAAGCUAUUUAGGUAGCGCCUCGGACGAAUACCAUAGGGGGUAGAGCACUGUUUCGGCUAGGGGGUCAUCCCGACUUACCAAACCGAUGCAAACUCCGAAUACCUAUGAGUACUAUCCGGGAGACAGACUGCGGGUGCUAACGUCCGUAGUCAAGAGGAAAACAAUCCAGACCGCCAGCUAAGGCCCCAAAAUCAUAGUUAAGUGGGAAACGAUGUGGGAAGGCAUAGACAGCUAGGAGGUUGGCUUAGAAGCAGCCACCCUUUAAAGAAAGCGUAAUAGCUCACUAGUCGAGUCGGCCUGCGCGGAAGAUGUAACGGGGCUAAAACUAUGUGCCGAAGCUGCGGAUNNNNNNNNNNNNNNNNNNNNNNNNNNNNNNNNNAUGCUGGAGGUAUCAGAAGUGCGAAUGCUGACGUGAGUAACGACAAAACGGGUGAAAAACCCGUUCGCCGAAAGACCAAGGGUUCCAGUCCAACGUUAAUCGGGGCUGGGUGAGUCGACCCCUAAGGCGAGGCCGAAAGGCGUAGUCGAUGGGAAAAUGGUUAAUAUUCCAUUACUUCUGUGUAAUGCGAUGAGAGGACGGAGAAGGCUAAAUCAGCCUGGCGUUGGUUGUCCAGGUGAAAGGAUGUAGGCAUGUAUCUUAGGCAAAUCCGGGGUACUCUAUGCUGAGAUCUGAUAGCAAGCUGUACUUGUACAGCGAAGUGGUUGAUGCCAUGCUUCCAGGAAAAGUCUCUAAGCUUCAGUUACACAGGAAUCGUACCCGAAACCGACACAGGUGGUCAGGUCGAGUAGACCAAGGCGCUUGAGAGAACUCUGCUGAAGGAACUAGGCAAAAUGGUACCGUAACUUCGGGAGAAGGUACGCUGUUGUUGGUGAUGGAACUCGCUUCCUGAGCUGACGACAGCCGCAGAAACCAGGCCGCUGCAACUGUUUAUUAAAAACAUAGCACUCUGCAAACACGAAAGUGGACGUAUAGGGUGUGAUGCCUGCCCGGUGCUGGAAGGUUAAUUGAUGGGGUUAGCGUAAGCGAAGCUCUUGAUCGAAGCCCCAGUAAACGGCGGCCGUAACUAUAACGGUCCUAAGGUAGCGAAAUUCCUUGUCGGGUAAGUUCCGACCUGCACGAAUGGCAUAAUGAUGGCGGCGCUGUCUCCAGCAGAGGCUCAGUGAAAUCGAAAUCGCUGUGAAGAUGCAGUGUACCCGCGGCUAGACGGAAAGACCCCGUGAACCUUUACUGCAGCUUGACACUGAACUUUGACCUUACUUGUGUAGGAUAGGUGGGAGGCUUUGAAGCUGGAACGCUAGUUCCAGUGGAGCCGUCCUUGAAAUACCACCCUGGUAAUGUUGAGGUUCUAACUCUGUCCCGUGAUCCGGGACGAGGACCGUGUCUGGUGGGUAGUUUGACUGGGGCGGUCUCCUCCUAAAGAGUAACGGAGGAGUACGAAGGUGCGCUCAGCGUGGUCGGAAAUCACGCGUAGAGUAUAAAGGCAAAAGCGCGCUUAACUGCGAGACCCACAAGUCGAGCAGGUACGAAAGUAGGUCUUAGUGAUCCGGUGGUUCUGUAUGGAAGGGCCAUCGCUCAACGGAUAAAAGGUACUCUGGGGAUAACAGGCUGAUACCGCCCAAGAGUUCAUAUCGACGGCGGUGUUUGGCACCUCGAUGUCGGCUCAUCUCAUCCUGGGGCUGAAGCAGGUCCCAAGGGUAUGGCUGUUCGCCAUUUAAAGAGGUACGCGAGCUGGGUUUAGAACGUCGUGAGACAGUUCGGUCCCUAUCUACCGUGGGCGCUGGAAAUUUGAGAGGAUCUGCUCCUAGUACGAGAGGACCAGAGUGGACGAACCUCUGGUGUACCGGUUGUGACGCCAGUCGCAUCGCCGGGUAGCUAUGUUCGGAAGGGAUAACCGCUGAAAGCAUCUAAGCGGGAAGCCUACCUCAAGAUAAGAUUUCCCUAGGACUUUAUGUCCUCUAAAGAGCCGUUCGAGACUAGGACGUUGAUAGGUUGGAUGUGGAAGCAUAGUGAUAUGUGAAGCUGACCAAUACUAAUUGCUCGUGAGGCUUGACUAUACAACACCCAAGCAGUUG
rnacentral:rRNA from 1 species